AUUAUAGGACAUAGAGCAGGUGUACCCACAGAAUAUAUUACAAUUCGUAUAUUUGCGGAGUAUGGGUGUAGGUAUCUAAUAUAUUUUCACUCGGCACUUUUAUCAGUAUUUGUCUCCCACGGUACGAACAUGUUUAAUUAUUUUUGACUCUAAAUGUUAAUACCAAAGUUUAAUAUGUGUUUACGAAAUCCGAAAAUCAUGUGAAUAAAAUUAAUAGGUAAGUAAAUAGUUUGAAAAAUAUUGGACAAUUCAAAUGUAUUUUAUUAUUGUAACACACAUUUUUUUAAGUUACAUGUAAUACACACAACACAGUAAAUUGCACGGUUUUUGAAAAUUUUUGUUGAUUUGGUAGGGAGUACGCACUGCCUAUCCACUACUAGGUAGUACGUGGAUAAAAUUAUUUGAUCAACAAAAAAAUGCUUCAACUUUUUACACCAGGUUCAAUAUAAGUUAUACUGAAAGACCAAAAAAAAAAAAAUGUUGAGUGUAGUGAGGUAAUUUUUUUUAAAAUAUGAAUUUAAGCUCAAAUUUUGAUUAAAAUCAUAAAAUUCAAUAGAUUUGUUCGACCAAUCUUCGCUCAGAAUCGUUUUCGUCACUAAUAGUUUGUCGAUGUAAACGGAUAUAAAUAACUCUAUGUAUUCUACGAGAAAGACUUAGCAUCUACAAUAUAGACACCCCCAGCGUUUGCUCCUUUUUUUUUCGUCGAUAUUUUAUCAAUUUUUCAAAAAAUUUAAAACGCAGGUAAGCUUCUAUGCAUAAUGUACUUAUUUCAUUAUUGAAAUCUUUAACAAUAAUUUUCUUUCUCAGAAAAUAGCAGUCAAGUUACUUCACUUUAAAGCCACACGUUUGAUUUGUUUAGUAUUUAAAAAAUGAAUUAACUAAAAAUAAUAUGAAUCCUUACACAUGUCUUCUUACCAUCCAAAUCGAAUAUUAUGACAUAGAUUUUUUGUGUAAAAACAUUGUCAUGAGAAUAAUAAAUAUUUUAAUUCGUUUACAUUACUAUUUAAAAUAAUUCAACACCAUAAAACAAAACCAUAAGCUAGGAAUUUCCUAUUAAAAUCGUGUCUCAUAGUAAUUGUUACGCUUUUGUCAAAAUUUAAACUUAAAAUACCUAAUAAAAACUACUACAUAACACUCAACUUUUUUUUCAAGUAAAACUUAAAUUGUAUUUAAAUUUCACACAUUUUAGCUAGAUUGGCACGUAUUGGCUUUCGCACACAUGGUUGUGCCACUAUUGUAGGUGGGAAAUUAAGAAGUUAGGAUCUAAGUACUUUAACGAAUGACUUAUCACAAAAAAAAAAAAAAUAUAAAAUAAUAAUAAAAAGAAAGUCUCGUAAAAAUAAAAAACUAUCAAACUUGUCUAAUAAUACAUUUAACGGAUUUCAAACAAAUUUAUGGGGAGUGUAUCCACUGAUUACUUAAGAGUAAAGUAAAUGCAAUUUGCAAAUGCAUAUUUUAAACAUGAAUAGACCUUGAUACUGUUAACAUCAACAUAACCUCAACAAAAUGACUAGUAAUAUGUUGAUAUUUUUUAUAAUAGUAAUUUUUUAUGAUUAGGCAUUUCGAUUUAAGUAAAAUUCUAUGUAUAGAUAGAAGCCAGGUGCAUUUUUAUUAGAUGAUGGGAGUAAUGUUUGUUAGCAACGUUUGGUCUUGCACUAAAGAUAAUUUAUACCUGACUAUUCAGUAGUAUUUAUUUAUUAAAUCAAAAAUAACAAAUUUAACAAAACACAAAGAUUACAUAAAUUAUCUACCUUCUUUUAGCUGAAGUUUGUGGUGAAGGCAGAGAGUUAAGACAGUAAUGUGUCAUUGAAAUUACAACCAUCCGAAAAAGCGAAAAAAGUGUUUAUACAAUAUUAAAAAUAGAGAAAAGAGAAAUACAAUUAAUUAUAUUAUUACAUUGAGAAAAAAUAUUCAAUACACCAAUACAAACAGGAAAAUAUCUAUUUAAGUAUGUUUUUUUUAACAUUAAGAUUUUUAAAAUAAAUGUUUUUUUUUUUUUUAAAAAGCUAAAGGCAUUGCGUUAUAAUAGGUUAGUACUAGACACGGCCGUAUGCAGGGGGUGAGGGUUCCAGGUACAACCUCCUCCCUCGAAAUUUCAUCAAAAAUAUUUGUAUUGUCUUUCCUUCAGGUCUUUUUUUCAAGUAUAAUAUUAUAUUCCAUAAAAUGUUGUAAAAUAAAAAACAUAUGUUUUGAUGUAGGUUUUUCUUUUAAUUUUAAAGCCAUACAUAGUACAAUACUAUGAUAAAUAUGUGACGUUAUUGUUAUCGCCAACCGUUUCGUGACACGUUUAAUUUCGUUAAUUUUAGUAUUCGUCAAAUGUCGUUAGUGCUUCAUAUCAGAAGACGUCGAUAAUGUUUAAUUCUAACUCGGUUAGUAGAGUGUAUUAUUUCUUUAAUUGGAUUCUUAACAUCGCCGUACAAAGAACUGAAGGAACUUGCCAAAAACGUAUUGAUUUCGAAUCGAAAAGUAAGUAUUUUUACUACUAUUUUCUACUUAAGGGAAAUGGAAACAAUUGGAUUCUUCAUGCAUUUAGACCAAUAAACCGGGGAAAAAUAAACAUACUUCUAUUAGUCUAAUUUUAAUCUUGAAAACAAAUUUGAAUUCGUUAAUCUCUUUUCUACGUUUUGUAGAGAAAAACGUUUUCCGUUUUUUUAAAGUAUAAGUCAUUGAAAUUCAUAAAAAUCAUGUUAUAGUUUCAUAUUAAAAUAUACCCUCCCCCGCAAAAAAAGAAAACGAAUCCUGUAUACAGCCAUGGUGCUAGAUAGUCCACAAAUUUAUUACCAAAGGAUUUCUUAAAAUAAAUUACUUUACCAUUAAACGUUAGAUGUUUUUCUUUAUUAUCAUUAGUAAUUAAAAAUUACUCCGCAGUUUAUCGUCAAGGGAUUACUGGUAACACCAUUUAUUUUGACUACUAAGCUUCGGUUUGCCAAUUAAUUAUAAAAACAUUUUAAACUGUACGAGUCAAUACCGAAUUCCGGUAAAAUAUUCAUGAGUUAUUUAUGAUUCACAGUAUCAAAGACCUUAGCUAGAUCAAAAAAAGUUGCUAACGGUUUUAUUCCCUCAUCAAGGGCUUUGUUAAUGCAUUUGGUAGCACUAUAUAAAGCGUUCUCAUUCCCUAAACCAGGUCUAAAAUCAAAUUGAUUUUGUGAGAGUUAUUUGUUUUUUCCACGUAAAUAUGUAAUUAAUCUUGUUUUAGCAAUUUUUUUUAAGAUAUUUGAAAAAUUACUCAGUAUAGAUAUAGGUCUAUAUUAACAAACAAUUUAUCUGUGGAGUAAUAACUGCUAGUUUCCAUUUCUAUUAUGUGUUCAGGUACAGGUUUAAGAAUUUUAGCCGUAAAUCUAUCAAAACCUGCCGCUGUACCUUACUGAAGCUUCAUUAUGAUGUAAAGGACCUCAGAUUUUCUACUUUGGCAUUGAAGCAGCUUUUAAUCGAUACAUUUUGGGUAGGUACUUCCCAUUUUAAAUUUAUUGAGUCAAUAGUUUGCGAAAGAUUCUGACCAACGUUAAUAAAAAAUCAUUAAAUACAUUUGAUACUCUAUAAGGAUCGGUAUUAGUGUAUAUGAUAUCAUUAUUAAUUUGAAUUGCUUUAAUUUCAUCCUUUCCAGAUUUACUAUUUCUGUUCAUCAGUUCUCUAAUUACCCUCCACGAUAUGUGUGGGCUAUACGAGACAUCUGCAAAUAUAUUUUUAUAAAAUUAAAUUUUAGACGUUCAAAUAAAUACGUUCCAAUAUACAUAAUUUUUCAAAAACAAAAUUAACUCAUUGAAAUGUGUCAUUUACACUUUUUUAUAUUACAGCUAAAUACGUUUAAAGAUUUAUAUUUAAUUGGGUUACAAUUUUAUUAAACUCUUGAAAAAUUGCGUUUUAUAAUUUACAAAACUAUUUAAAAUAUUCGAAAACUCCAUUUAAAUUCCAUUUAAAAAAAAGUAUGAAAAAAAAAUAGUAACUGCUAGAAUGAAACCAAUAAAAAAGAAAAAAGAAAACUAGAGAAAAGCAAAAUUGCGUAUUUAAAAGUUUUUGGAUUUUUGACAAAUCAGACAUUUCGUGAAUAAUAAAAACUGUUGGUGGCAAAACUUUGAAAUUUAUUGGUUUUACUGUGAUGUGUGUUGUUAUUUUUUUUUUAAAUAAUAGUUUCAUUAUUUUCAAUUUUAUUUUUUUGAUAUAGUUCAGUUAAAAUAUUUGCAUAGAAAUAUGAAAUUUUGACAGCGAAUUUAUUAAUUUAUAGGCAUUUUAUAUUUACGAGUUUUAUGUAUGUAUUAUUGCUUGACUUAUCAGAAUUCUUUGCAACUUUAACAUGAAGUUCAUUAUAAGUUGUAGCUACUUGGUAGUUAUAAAAAAAUUAAUCGUGGGUUAUGUAGUAAUAGUUUUUUUACUAAUAUAUUAAAAUCGAAAUUUGAUUGAAAUCAUAAAUAUUACUGCCUUUCAGGUCACGGAAAACCGAACUUCGCUCAGAAUACGUUUUCGGGAGCUAAAGUAGGAUAAACCUUAGAUAGUAUACUUAAGAUAUCUUGAGUAUCUUAACUUUCAAACUAUCAGCCUACAACAGUAGCAAUCAGCAGUAACAGCAAUUUUUUUGUCUCUUGAAAAACAAAGGGUAUUUGUAUCAUAAAUACUAAGUAUAAUUGAUGAAUAAUAAAGUUACGCCACCAUGGCCGUCCACGAAUAGCUAUAUUAUAAAAUGGGGACUAAAACGGGGCCCCGAAAGACUUGUUUAUAGAUCCAAGUUAAAAUGUUAUAAUAUUUGAUAGAUUUAUUAUAUUGUAUGAUAUAUGUUUUAAUAUUUUUAGUUGCGAGUUGACGUUGCGUAGAUAAUGAUUACCUACACAACGUCAGUCAAAAAUUACUUAAAAAUAAUCGUAUAUGUUACGAUUGUAUUGGCCACACUGUUUCCGAUUACAAAGAUUUAUAUUGUAUAUACCUAAUCAGCUAACCAUUGAACAAAAUUCAUAUUUACUCACUACUGUUCAAUCAAGGAAGUAUAACACACCGGAUUUGUUAAUUUAAUAGUUUUAUUUUGUUGGGUUGUUCGUUUAUUAUUUAAAAAUAACUACAUUUUUGAACGGUAAAAAUUUGAAACGCAGAGAAAAUUUUCAUUUGAUAAUAACUAUUCGUCCGUGCCAGAUACAGAAUUUGUGGUAAUCGUCGACAGAGAUAAAACCAAGACUGUUUCUCCAAGUAAUACUGAUUCUAAUUAACGUGAAUAUGAACAAGAAACAUCAGAUGAAAAUUUGAAAGAUCCGGGAAUGUGGCCAAUUUCCAUUACGAAGUUAGUUCGAUUAGAUGUAGUCAUGAUUAGAUGUAGUGAUGUUUCACCAACAUUUCAAGAAUUAGUUGAUUAUGUAAAGUAGUUGCCAAAAACUAUUAAAAGUAAAAGACCUUCAAUGCUUAAUACAAAAUCAUUAAAUAAUUGUGAUCAUUUCCGCGGAAUUGUUUAAGUUUGAGUGAACAAAUCAAUCUUUACACUGUUAUCCCUGUAUUUUAUUUAAUACGAAUCAUAUGAAAACUUCCAAUAUGUAGUUUGAAAUGUUAGCUUUGGAGUAAGGUUGUUUAUCUUCACAAAACACCAUGGACAAAACUUUAUUUCAAGCACAGUUAUCGUGAAAAUAUCAAAGUUCACAGGGAUUCAUUUUUAGAAUAGAAUACAUAAGAAUGAGCUAAGCUAGGAAUUUUGCGUAGGUUACUCGAUGUUAAUUUAUUUUAUGUUUAUAAAUAUGUUUAAUGUAUCUUGUCAAAAGCAAUAUAUUGAUAUUAGGAUAUAAUGUUUUACAAAAUGAAAAAAAUUAGAGUAUUUAGUAUUUUGGAAAAUUUUAUUAAAUUUUUUUUAAAAAGAUAAACUGGAGAAUAUAUUUCCACUUAACUAAUUUUUAUGCUUGAAAGUUUAGAAAAUCCUCUAUUAAAUUUUAGGGUACUUAGGCUAAGAAAUUGUUGCCAAUAUAUUAGGUAAAAUAAAAAUAGCACUAUCACGUUUACUCGAAAAAUAAAAUACUUGAUUUUAUAUUCAACAUGCGCCGCUCACUCAUUCAAUCUUAAUCGUGCUAAUGUAACUAAAAUAUGUCCAAAAAUUAUAACUGAUUUCGAUUAAGUACAACAGUGAUUUAUAUUUUUAAUUCAAAUACAAAUAGGGGGAGAAUUUUUAAAGAUGUGUUGAGACUUUAUUACGUUCAUACACAGUCCAACACUCAAUGAAAUUUAUGUAUUGAUGGAAUUCGUCCCGUUGCAAAACAAUUGCCCAGUAUCAUAAAUACUUUGGAUCGCGUUAUUAAUGAACUAGUAACACAAUUCCAGAAAGAAAAAUAACAGUGAAGUUAAACCAAUGAAAAAUAUUUCAUCACGUUAAAAACAAAUUUGAAAUGUUUUUGAGCCAUCAUUAAACUUUUUCUUAAUGACGAAUUUUAAUUACUAUUCAAUAUUGCUCAAUUAGACAAAUCAUUUUUCUAUUUUUGUUUUCAUUUUAAAAUGUGUAUACAAAAACAUAUAUUAUACGAGUAUAUAUAAUAUUUAUUAUAAUGAGUAAACAUAAAAGGACGUCCUAGGAUAAUGGAGAUAAAAUUUUCUUUCAAAACAUAGGCUACAUUUGAUACAUUGGAUCAAGAUUUCUGGUCGAGAAUUUUACAAAACAAAUCAAAGGGUAUUUUGCGAUUAAAACAGUCCGAGGGAACAAUGGCUUAGGUCUUUAGGUACAUACAAAAUGAAUUCGGUUUUUCAGUGUUUGGGUAAAAAGGAAAAAAAAAUACAAACAUUUUUUUCGAACCACGGGUUCAAAUUCACGAACCCUAAAAUAUAAACAGUUAUGUAUAACCAUUGAGCUGCGACAAACAUAAUUUAUAAAAUACGAUAUUUAGUUAUUUAACACGACAUAUAAUAUCUUUAUAAUAGCAGAACUAUAAAAAGCUAUAAUUUUGUAACAAAGUCAGUCCGCUCAAUUUCAAAUUCACAAUCAGCAAUACAAAUAUGUUAAAAAAAAAAAAAUUGAAAAAUUAGAUUUGUUCCUCAUAAAUUUUUACUAAACGGCUUUCGUUAAAAAUUUGAUAUUCAAAUUUCUUUAUAAAAAAAAAUACUACAUUAAACUUGAGUUAUCUUUUUAUGACCACAAAGAAAGAAUCUUAACGAACUUCCUGUUAAAUUUUCAAGACUUUCCAUUAAGUCUGACAAUUUUAUCACAGAGUAUAUAACGAAAAAAAAUAACACGCACAACUUGCAAGUUUAAAAUGUCUAUGAAUAGAUCAAAAAUUACUUAAUUUUUUUGAAAAAAUUACAAAGUCUAGAACAGGGAAACAUAAAUUUUCUGUCGAAAUUCUAGGCCCAUAAAGGCAAAACGAUUAUUUUAAACUGAAAUACAACAAAUAACAAUGUUUAAAAAUAAAAAAAACAUUUUCAUGUAUUUCCUGUUUUCCUAAACUUAUUUUAUUCUGGUUUUUCCCUUGUCUUUUUAAUAAAAGCAGCUUGGAAUAUCAAAAAUGACCCCACAAAAGUACUAUCGGGACAAUAUUUCCUUUAAAACAUGAUGCUGCGCGAGCAUAUCUGAGCAAGAUUUCUGGUAGAAUUUUUGUACAAAGCAUAGAAAAAAAAUCUUAGUAAAACCAAUACAUUCUUGAAUGUACACUCACAAUCUAAAAACGAUUGUUACAAAAACACCAGUUUUUUUAAAUUUUUUGCAUAUCACUAUAUCUUUAUAAUAAAAGGCCACAUAAAUAUUUAUGACAGGUACCCAAAAUUUGAUAUGGGGCCCCCACAUUCAGUUUCGACAUAACACCAGCCGUAAUAUUAAAAAUGCAUACAAAUUAAUUAUAAAUUCAUUCCUAUAUUCUUAUUACUUGUAUUAAACAGAAAUUAUAUGCCACGAAUCCAAAGAAACUAGUUAUAUUCAACUGCAAUCAACAAAUUCAACUCCAAUCGAUAAAUUCAACUACAACCAAGAUUUUUACGUUUGACUUCUGAAGCGGCUACACGAAAACCAAGGCAGUAUAAAGGCAUUAUUUUAAGAUAAUAUUAUAACUUCGGUUUGACAUCUUUAUUAUUUAUGCAUAUAAAUAAUAGUAUAGUAUUCAAAUUGUUUAAUUUAUAUUUUAAAUUCUAAAUUUAUAUUAUCAUCAAAUAGAUCAAAGGCAG